rnacentral:rRNA from 1 species
UACGAAGGGGGCUAGCGUUGUUCGGAAUGACUGGGCGUAAAGGGCGCGUAGGCGGUUUGAUAAGUUUGGUGUGAAAGUCCUGGGCUCAACCUGGGGAUUGCACUGGAUACUGUUGGACUAGAGAUCGAGAGAGGAAAAUGGAAUUGCGAGUGUAGAGGUGAAAUUCGUAGAUAUUCGCAAGAACACCGAUGGCGAAGGCGGUUUUCUGGCUCGAUACUGACGCUAAGGCGCGAAAGCGUGGGGAGCAAACAGG